rnacentral:miRNA from 1 species
UUUUCUGGCGCAUCGAAUUUG